CAGUAGCCACGGGAAAACGAAGGGUGCAAGCGUUAAUCGGAAUUACUGGGCGUAAAGCGUGCGUAGGCGGUUUGUUAAGUCUGCUGUGAAAUCCCCGGGCUCAACCUGGGAACUGCAUUGGUGACUGCAACGCUGGGGUGCGGCAGAGGGGGAUGGAAUUCCGCGUGUAGCAGUGAAAUGCGUAGAUAUGCGGAGGAACACCGAUGGCGAAGGCAAUCCCCUGGGCCUGCACUGACGCUCAUGCACGAAAGCGUGGGGAGCAAACAGGAUUAGAUACCCGCGUAGUCCCUGUCUCUUAUAC
rnacentral:rRNA from 1 species